rnacentral:tRNA from 1 species
GUGGGUGUAGCUCAGCUAGGUAGAGCGCCAGGUUGUGGCCCUGGUGGCCGUGGGUUCGAUCCCCAUCACCCACCCCA